rnacentral:rRNA from 1 species
AUUGAACGCUGGCGGCAGGCCUAACACAUGCAAGUCGGACGGUAGCACAGAGGAGCUUGCUCCUCGGGCGACGAGUGGCGGACGGGUGAGUAAUGUCUGGGGAUCUGCCCAAUAGAGGGGGAUAACCACUGGAAACGGUGGCUAAUACCGCAUAACGUCGCAAGACCAAAGAGGGGGAACUUCGGGCCCCUCACUAUCGGAUGAACCCAGAUGGGAUUAGCUAGUAGGCGGGGUAAUGGCCCACCUAGGCGACGAUCCCUAGCUGGUCUGAGAGGAUGACCAGCCACACUGGAACUGCGACACGGUCAAGACUCCUACGGGAGGCAGCAGUGGGGAAUAUUGCACAAUGGGCGCAAGCCUGAUGCAGCCAUGCCGCGUGUAUGAAGAAGGCCUUCGGGUUGUAAAGUACUUUCAGCGGGGAGGAAGGCGGUGAGGUUAAUAACCUCGCCGAUUGACGUUACCCGCAGAAGAAGCACCGGCUAACUCCGUGCCAGCCGCCGCGGUAAGAC